rnacentral:rRNA from 1 species
CAAGUCUCCGUUGGGAACCAGCGGAGGAUCUUUUCUGGUUUCAUAAGGAAGUAAAAGUCGUAACAAGGUCUCCGUUGGUGAACCAGCGGAGGGAUCAUA